UAAGGAAUAUUGCUCAAUGGGAGAAAUCCUGAAGCAGCAACGCCGCGUGGAGGAUGAAGGGUCUAUGACUUGUAAACUCCUGUAAAGAAGGAAAAAAUUCCCAUUAGAUGGGAGAUGAUGGUACUUCUGGAGUAAGCCCCGGCCAACUACGUGCCAGCAGCCGCGGUAAUACGUAGGGAGCAAGCGUUGUUCGGAUUUACUGGGCGUAAAGGGCGCGUAGGCGGCGCGGUAAGUCACUUGUGAAAUCUCUGAGCUUAACUCAGAACGGCCAAGUGAUACUGCUGUGCUAGAGUGCGGAAGAGGCAACCGGAAUUCUUGGUGUAGCGGUGAAAUGCGUAGAUAUCAAGAGGAACACCUGAGGCGAAGGCGGGUUGCUGGGCCGACACUGACGCUGAUGCGCGAAAGCCAGGGGAGCAAACG
rnacentral:rRNA from 1 species